AGUCUAUUAAUUUGAAUGUAGUACUUUUUGUAUGUGCAAGAUAAAGCUGCAUUAUCUUUGAGCCAUAUGUCAUCCAGCUAGCUCUAAUUUUUCCAUCCAAGACUUGUGCAUCCUACAUGAUCUUGCAGGUUUGCAACCAAUUGGGCUGGGACAUGAUCACCAAUGGAGGUGGGAGUAGGAACAGCUGCUGCAAGCUCAAGUUGGAGAACCCCAUCAUAUAUUAGCAUUGCAGAUUCACAGACGUGUUAUCAGCAGGUAUCAGUCUUUUUAUACUUCAACUUGUACUAAAUUAUAGAUGUUCCGAUCUUUUUUUUAACUAUUUUUAAUUUCACUAUUAAAUUCAGUGUCUUCUAUAUCACAUGGAAUUUUACUCAAUGCAGGUUCGCCUCACUCGUUGCUUAGUUUAAUUGGGAAAAAGGCUUAUAUAAUAGCUUAGAAUCAAGGCUCAGUAUAUAAGAAGACUAAACAAUUUUGGUGGUCUUAAAAGCUGUCUUUGCUUCAUAUGAACUCUCUUAGUUGUCUUAGAAGGAACAGUAUGAGCGACAAAUAUUAAUACUUGGAAAAUGAGUAAAACAAUUAUCAAAAAAUGUCAAAGGUGGUUUGUAUGGACUUUACGAGGGUCCAUUGUAAUAUCUUUCUUGGUGUUUUGCCAUCUUCUCGAAAAGCUUUGCAGAAUCAAUUUCUCAGUGUUUUGGCUGCUGAUGAAAUUGCAGCUCUUAUGUAAGCCUGUUUUCCUAUGAAAACCAGAAGGAGCCUACAAAUUUAUUGCACUGGCAAUGAUAAUUAGGAUGUGGAAAUAUCAAGAAUGUCUAUCUUGACAAAACUGGUGCACAUCCAAGUUAAGGAUUUUGUAGAGCAAAAGAAAGUGCAUGACUUUGAGGCUAAAGGAAUAACUAGAUGCAAAAAUAGAAAAUACGAAUUAGAUAUGACUUUAAUAGUUUCAUCUGGUCAGGUAUGUGAUUAAUAGAAAAUAAAAAUUAGAGUCCUGAAGGACGGAGUUGACAUAUUCAAGGCUGCUAACAAUUUCUCUGGAGAAACAGCACAUGAUCAUUUUAUGGAAUAAUUGAAGAUAUGCAUUAAUGAUCUCCUAGAAGAUAAUAAUUGCUUGUUAACCAGAACAUCUAUGAUGAGGUGAAUUAACUCAGUGCUUGAGGGUGGAAAUUCACCAAUCACCAUGGGCUUCACAUACUCAUGUAGCAAGUAAAUGACAAGCACACAGCUCAGGUAUUUAUCAUUCUGUAUUUUUGCCAUUGCAAUAUGGUUCAAAUGAAAUGGUGAAUUCAUUCUUUUUAUAGCAGUCAAAUUGCUAGUGUUAGUACUGACAAUUCUUUUGCCAAAUUUGCAAGUCAAAAUCAUGUGGGACAUGUCUAGCAAAACACAUAGGAAUACUGACGUGUCUUGUAUGUAGUAAGGAAAUUUAUACUAUGAACAACUAAACUGAUCUUUGUCGGAUGUGCAUAACAGAGAGUUCCUGACUGGAGUGGGAUAGUCUAGUUUGUGUACCUUGCAUCUGGUUAAAGAUAGCAUAACAUUUUCGUGUCUUUAACUAGGAUAAUUGUAGUUGCCCAACACAAUAAGUAGUCAUUUCAAGAAUCUUGGAAUUUUACAAACAUUACUAUCCGAGUGAAAAUGAAUAUCUUGCUCAAAAGAACUCUUUACAUUUAAUAUUAAGGUAGACAUUAAUGUUUGCAGAAAUAUGUUGUCACUAGAGCUGUUGAUUUGCUCAGACAGUAGCAGCUGUUGACUGACUGGUGAAGGCUUGGCAUAAAAAAAUAUAUUCAGCAGAGGUGUCUAUGAACUAAAUGUUUCCCUGUAAAACCUGGUAAAACUUGUAAAAUAUGGUACUAGAAAAUAAAAAAGAAAAAUUUUCCAGUAUAUGCUUCUACAAACUAAUUGGCUGUUGCCACAAGUUUUUCUUGAAACUUCUGCCUGCCUCAUUUAGGAGGUUGUACUGCAUCAAGCAAAUUCUGCUUGAAGCACUCGUCUUAUGUGUUGCUUGUAGCUACUGCAUUGAAGAACUUACUGAUUCUACUAAUGGAAACUAACUUUGGCUAUAUAAGACCAGCUUAGGCAGCUUGGUCACAAACUUACCUGCACAAACCAAAAAGAAAAGUUGAUACACUUAUCAAAGUAGCAGUUUGCUAAUCAUUGUGGUGGGAACUACAGAUAAGUCAUGUUAUCACCCAUCUUCUCAUGCAACAUUUGAUCAUCGUCCUGUUGCGGACGAUUCACUUGAACUUUCAUAACCAGAUUGUGUCAUUAGUGAAUCGCUGACAAUAUCCUGACAAAAAAGUAUUGAGAUGAUUAGUGCAGGCUUCCUCAUUCUGUUGCUUUGAAAGAUUUUCUCAUCCAAGUUAAUUUAUUUAUAUAUUAUCAUGAAAAGUUCACUUAUAGGGCCGUUUAUCUCAUGUUUUUUUGGCUAGAAUAAUCAGUGUGCCACUCAAAAAGCAAGCUAUAAGAAAAUGAUACUCCAGUUAUGGAGGGAAAAACUACACCCACAGAACAAACAUAAAAGCCUCAACCUUUUUUUCAAGAGCAAAAGAGGGGCCAAGAAGACAAAUCAAUCGGGAAAAACCAGAUUAAAAAAUCACAACAAAUUGUAAAAUUUGCUUGCUUGAUUGCAAUGCUCUUUUUCAUGUUUGUUCUAAAUCUAAUUAGUGACUAGUAGCAUCGUUCUCUUUCGAAGGUUUAUGUUAGACCUUUUGCCAGUUUUUAUCAUGUCAGUGUUGAUAGUCCUGUUAUACUUCUCAAUUUGCAGAGGCAUAUCUUGGUGGUUAGUUCUGCUGCCUUGUUUUAUAGCAAUGUGUUAUAGAAUUAAUGCAUCAAACAAUUAGUUAUGUUUUUUAAAGAUGAUACAUCAACUAGAGCAAACAUAACACCUAUGUUUUUUUAAUGUUCUGUAGACAGGCAUUACUUUAAUUCUUCUUAAUAUGAAUACACUCACUAUCUAUUUUGGUUUUAUUAUCAACCAACCUGUGGGGAAACUCGACUAUGGAUGGAUGGACUAUGACUACGAGUACUGCUUGGCAUGGUGGAAUAAAGCAUGUUAUCUUCUGCAAGAGAUCUUAGCCUCUCUAGUUCUGGCAACACAACUCUUUCAAGAUCUGGUCGAUCCUUCCUUCUCAGCUCUGUGCACUUGAGUGCUAUUUCAGCAAGGCGCUGAGCCUCCUCAACUGGCCAGUCAGUUACCUCUGCAUCUAACAUUUCAUCAAAUGUUCCUUUUUCAAUUGAAUGGCUCACAUGGCGUGUUAGCCCUGCGGGAGGCUUUGCUGUUAUAAUCUGCAACAGCAGAAUUCCAAGAGAGUAUAUGUCAGACUUCACACCAAGCAUGCCUGUCUGCUGGUACUCGGGAUCAAUAUAGUAGAAUGUUCCAGCUGUGGAGGUCAUGCGGUACUGUGUGACACUGUUUGCAACUGAUGGGGGAACAAGCCGGGCUAGACCAACAUCACUGAUCUUGCUCACAUAGUAUUUGUCAAGAAGGAUGUUUCCAGGCUUGAGGUCUUGGUGAACAAGUGGCUCUGGCUUCUUGUGGUGUAAGAAGAGGAGGCAUGUGGCAAUCUCAGCAACAAUUUGAAACCUAUAUUGCCAGGGAAUUACAGGUGUGUUUCCUCUCCGGAAAAGGCGGUCCUCCAAGCUUCCAUUAGCCAUAUAUUCAUACACAAGACAGCCAUACUCCGGGCAGGCACCUAGAAGCAGAACCAUGUUUGGAUGCCUAAUGCAGCUCAGUAUUUCAACCUGUGCAAUCAAAGGCUGUGAGUGUCAGAAGCUACGUCGCUUGUCGCUGCAAGAGUUUGCUAUUCUAUUCAAUGAGGUACCUGAUAAAAGGGGGAAGGAGAGGGAAAAAGAGCAGUUGGGAGUCAAAAUGCACCUUCUGAACCAAGCAAGAAGUGAUGAGACAUUGCAUUAGGCUUGAGGCUCACUUGGCUUUGAAUUUGAUCACGAAGAGGAGAAACAAUUGGAGCUAGUCGUGUGGCAUUCUUCAUGGCUGAUACUUUCCCUUUGGCUAUUACAUAAACGGUGCAGAAAUCAGGUGCCCCCUUUGUGAUAUUGGUGGUGAUGUCGUGAUGUUUGAAUCUCCUGAGGAGGAACAAGAGUAAGGCCGGCACAAGAAACAGCGAAAUGGAAGGAAGAGUUCUUUUGUAUGAUGAUCCAUUGGUUCUAUGCAACCACCGGCAUUCUUUCGGCUCGAAGCUGUACUACAUGAAAAAUUUGCCGGAUCAAGAAAA